CAUGAACACACAAACAACCCUCAGACUUUAGCACAGUAGAUUAGUGGAUGAAUUGACUCUCCUUUAGCACAAAAAAGCAAAAAAGAGUCCUGAGGGAAUGAGCAUGAUAGUAACAUCUGCUCCAGAAUGUUGAAUGGCAGACCUUAGAACCUAGAAUAUAGGAUUCUAGAUCUAGAAGGGAACUUGAAGAAAAUGUGGUCAUUUUAAAGAUGGAGAAGAGGAAGCUCAGAGGGGACUUGUCCAGAAGUGGAAUGAGUUGCUUCCAGAGAUGGUGGGUUCUCCCUUCUUGGGGGUGUUCAAACAGAAGCUGAAUGACAAUCUGUCUGAAUUGUCCAAGUCCAGUGGUAAGGCAAAAGUCGGGACAACUGGUGAUGGUCCAGGAUGCAGGGGAUUACUUUGGCAUCUUCAAUGUCUAGCCAAGAUCUAAGUGCUCCACAGAUCCUGCUUCAGCCAUCUUCAUGGCCUUUGGAAUGAGUUGUUCUCAUCUACCCUUUCUGUUAAGGGAAUGCUUGGGGGGGCACUUCUCCCCUGCCCCUGCCAACUCACUGAUAGGUUUGAGGCCCGUUAGUUACCCCCAACCUGGUUUAGCCGAUAUUUGAUAUAAGCUAUAACUUGAAGCCACAGGUGAGAGUUGGGUGAGAAGUAGGACAUCAAAGAUGAAUAAAUAACUCCAUAAAGCCCUUACA
rnacentral:lncRNA from 1 species